rnacentral:tRNA from 1 species
GCCUUCGUAGUGUAACUGUAACACUCUCGGCUGGUAUUCGAGAGGCUGAGGUUCGAGUCCCGGCGAGGGCA